rnacentral:lncRNA from 1 species
ACUCACACGCCACCUCCCACACCGCCACACGCGGCCGCUGGUGGUCAAAAAUCUCGGUUUCAGGCGAAAAAAUAGAAAGGUAAAGGAUCUCUUUUUAUUUUUCGUUAUUCGCAAACUAAAAGAGGGUUAAUAUAUAUUUCUAAACAAGAAAUAGAGAACAGAAUGAUGUAAAAAAUAAAAAAUACCUUAAAAAAUGAAACUAUAACUUUAUUGCUUGAAUAUGCGAGUUUUUUGUCUCUCUGUAUUGUGGUGCGUUUUACAAAUCCAAAAGGGCUUUUAUAGCCUCUGUUUUAGUGUACAAUUUUGGUAUAGCAAAUUAUCCCCUAUUUCUUGCCCUGUCUGUCAUUCCUUUCUCUUCUUGCAGGUAAACCCCGAGAGAUCCGGCGGUAAGCGCGCGCGUGAUGCACGGAGAUGGAGAUGGUGAAGGCUGAGGCUUCAUGAGAGCUGCGGCGCAAAAAAGUGGUUGAAAACCCUAGGGUUCCCAAAUCUGAAAACGGAUUUGGACCAUCGGGCCACAUAGCUUAUUGGGUCUGAUUUGUUUGGACCGACUUAAUUUAUGUAUUGGGUUUAGGUUCUUUAGGUCACGGGUGUAAUAGGGUCUGCUGGGUUUAGACUAAAACCGGGUGUAGGACUUUUGGUAGUUGGGUCAAAUGUAAGCGGGUAAUGGGCUGUAAAUGAAUUUUGGGCUUUGUACAUGGACUGUUUAAAUAAACAAACAUUU